rnacentral:tRNA from 1 species
GCCAGCGUGGCGGAAUUGGUAGACGCAGUGGACUCAAAAUCCACCGGACCAUAAAUCCAUGCGGGUUCGAGUCCCGCCGCUGGCACCA